rnacentral:rRNA from 2 species
AAAUUGAAGAGUUUGAUCAUGGCUCAGAUUGAACGCUGGCGGCAGGCCUAACACAUGCAAGUCGAACGGUAGCACAGAGAGCUUGCUCUCGGGUGACGAGUGGCGGACGGGUGAGUAAUGUCUGGGAAACUGCCUGAUGGAGGGGGAUAACUACUGGAAACGGUGGCUAAUACCGCAUAACGUCGCAAGACCAAAGAGGGGGACCUUCGGGCCUCUUGCCAUCAGAUGUGCCCAGAUGGGAUUAGCUUGUUGGUGAGGUAACGGCUCACCAAGGCGACGAUCCCUAGCUGGUCUGAGAGGAUGACCAGCCACACUGGAACUGAGACACGGUCCAGACUCCUACGGGAGGCAGCAGUGGGGAAUAUUGCACAAUGGGCGCAAGCCUGAUGCAGCCAUGCCGCGUGUAUGAAGAAGGCCUUCGGGUUGUAAAGUACUUUCAGCGGGGAGGAAGGUGUUGUGGUUAAUAACCGCAGCAAUUGACGUUACCCGCAGAAGAAGCACCGGCUAACUCCGUGCCAGCAG